rnacentral:rRNA from 1 species
GGACUACUCGGGUUUCUAAUCCCGUUUGCUCCCCUAGCUUUCGCGCACUCAGCGUCAGUGUCGGUCCAGAAAGCCGCCUUCGCCACUGGUGUUCCUCCGGAUAUCUACGCAUUUCACCGCUACACCCGGAAUUCCGCUUUCCUCUCCCGAACUCAAGCCUCGCAGUAUCCCGUGCAGAUCCUCAGUUAAGCCGAGGGCUUUCACACGAGACUUACAAGGCCGCCUACGCGCCCUUUACGCCCAGUAAUUCCGAACAACGCUUGCCACCUCUGUAUUACCGCGGCUGCUGGCAC